GACACACCGUGAGCGGCGCACAGGAGCCAC
rnacentral:sRNA from 1 species